rnacentral:rRNA from 1 species
UACGUAGGGGGCAAGCGUUGUCCGGAUUUAUUGGGCGUAAAGAGCGUGUAGGCGGCUAUACAGGUCCGCUGUGAAAACUCGAGGCUCAACCUCGAGACGUCGGUGGAAACCGUAUGGCUAGAGUCCGGAAGAGGAGAGUGGAAUUCCUGGUGUAGCGGUGAAAUGCGCAGAUAUCGGGAAGAACACCCGUGGCGAAGGCGGCUCUCUGGGACGGUACUGACGCUGAGACGCGAAAGCGUGGGGAGCGAACAGG